rnacentral:rRNA from 1 species
AACGAACGCUGGCGGCAUGCCUAAUACAUGCAAGUCGAACGAGAUCUUCGGAUCUAGUGGCGCACGGGUGCGUAACGCGUGGGAAUCUGCCCUUGGGUUCGGAAUAACAGUUGGAAACGACUGCUAAUACCGGAUGAUGACGAAAGUCCAAAGAUUUAUCGCCAGAGGAUGAGCCCGCGUAGGAUUAGCUAGUUGGUGUGGUAAAGGCGCACCAAGGCGACGAUCCUUAGCUGGUCUGAGAGGGUGAUCAGCCACACUGGGACUGAGACACGGCCCAGACUCCUACGGGAGGCAGCAGUGGGGAAUAUUGGACAAUGGGCGAAAGCCUGAUCCAGCAAUGCCGCGUGAGUGAUGAAGGCCUUAGGGUUGUAAAGCUCUUUCAGUGGGGACGAUAAUGACGGUACCCACAGAAGAAGCCCCGGCUAACUUCGUGCCAGCCGCCGCAGUAAGAC